rnacentral:rRNA from 1 species
UUGACGGGUCCCCGCACAAGCGGUGGAGCAUGUGGAUUAAUUCGAUACUAACCGAAGAACCUUACCCAGACUUGACAUCGACGGCAAGUCUAUGAAAGUAGACCCUCUUCCCACAAGGAAGACCUGAAGACACCUGCUGCAUGGCUGUCGUCAGCUCGUGCCGUGAGGUGUUCGGUUAAGUCCGACAACGAGCGCAACCCUCGUCUUAUGUUGCCAGCGGGUAAUGCCGGGAACUCAUAAGAGACUGCCCGUGUCAAACGGGAGGAAGGUGGGGAUGACGUCAAGUCAGCAUGGCGGUUACGUCUGGGGCUUCACACAUGCUACAAUGGGCGAAACAAAGGGCAGCAAUACCGCGAGGUGGAGCUAAUCCCGAAAAUACGCCCUCAGUUCAGAUUGCAGUCUGCAACUCGACUGCAUGAAGGCGGAAUCGCUAGUAAACGCAGGUCAGCUAUACUGCGUUGAAUACGUUCCCGGGGAUUGUACACACCGCCCGUCAAGUCACCCGAAUCGUCUGCACCCGAAGUCCGUGGCCCAACCGUAAGGAGGGAGCGGCCGAAGGUGUGUGGGGUAAGGGGGACUAAGUCGUAACAAGGUAACC